CUCCUGGGAAUUUAAUACGGCAUGCUGGAAAAGGCAAAACUAUGGGGACAGUGAAAAGAUCAGUGGUUGCCAGGGGAUAUGAGGGAGGAAAGGAAUAGGCAAAGAACAGAGGAUUUUUAGAAGAGCAAAGUUACUCUGUAUGAUACUUUAAACAAAACCACCUGUAAACGUACCACUAAGAGAUCGUAAACACAGAAGUUGGUUUUAUAUUUUCCAAAUCUACAACUAUGUAUAUGUCAUUUUUAAAUGGAGUCAUAUGUCCAGUUUGUAACUUUUUUACUUGCUGUAAAUUUCUAUGUCAACACAUUGUAUAUAAAUAUAAACACAAUAAAUAUGAUCCUUGGUGGCUUCUUAGUGUUCAAUCGUAAGAUAUUGAAUAUGCAGGCUAUUAUGUUUUAAUAUGGAUUCAAAUGAAAUGAAAAGCAGAGGGUUCCGAAACAAGGCUAGACCUGCGUCUGGAGUCGAAUCUGACGUGGAAAAGGUCAGUUUUCCUGAGUUGUAAUUCCCUUCAUGAGUAGCAAUGGAUGCAGACAAAACCACAUGAACAGCAGCUAAGGUAAAGCACCUUUCCGUAUGGCUGGGAUAGUAUUGCCAUGAGUGGGAGGCAAGAAGGAGGGAGUACAUGGGCUCUUGGAGCCAGUUGGUCCCAGCAGGAAUUCUGGCUCUGCCACUUCCUGGCUGGGGGACCCUGGCCAAAUCUCCUAAUUUCUCCCCACCACAGUUUUCUUGUCUGUGAAAUGAGGACAAUAGUACCUCCCUCAUGGGGUUGUGGUGGGAAUUAAAUGAAGAAAUAUAUGGGAAGUGCCUGACACCUAAGCGUCCAGUAAGUGUUAGCUUUUCUUAUUCUUGCUUAUAUUUUCCACUGGGUUUAUGGGAAGAAUUAAAUGAAAUAAUAAACAGUCUAGAAUCUGAACACUGUCAUUUUUUGGCUGUGUGACCUUUGGGCAAAUAAUUUAACCUCCCUGAGCCUCAGAUGUCCUAUCCAUGAAAUGAUAGGACAGUCAUCAGUAGGAUGACCUAUCAUAGGAUAAUAGGAAAGUCAUCCUACUGAUCUCACAGGACUGUUGGAGAGUGAAGGGAAGACUGCAUAUGAAGGACCUGGCACACUGCCUAGUAUGUGGGACAAACUCCUGAAAGGCAUCUUAGAAAAGAGGGAUUUGCUGCUGUGACAUUGGGUUCCCUAAUCUACAUGGUCAUCUUAGAGUGAAUAGAAGUAAAGUUAAUGAUAAGGAAAUGAAUAAAAAAUUGAAAUAUCAACACUGUUAGUCUGGGUCCUCCAAAAAGCAGAUGUCAAGACAGUUUUAAACAUGCAAGAAUUUUACUGGAGAAAGUGCCUGUGUAAAAGGAAAUAGAGAUGAUGGAGCCAGGGUUGGCUGGGAAGCUGUCAAACAACAAUGCAAGUCUAACCCCAGUGAAGGAGAUCAAGAUCAAAGGUUGAGUGGGAACAUCCUACCUGCCAGGUGUGUCUAAUGAACAUUUGGCAAAAGACUUGGGAGUCUUUGAACCAAAGUGAGCCACUGACCUAGAGUACCCCCCUUCCCAGGCAUGGGUCUGCCUUGUUAUCCCCCCAACCACUCAGUCAUGGAUGAGAAGUCAUGUGUGAAAGCAUGACCUUCAUUACAAGCACAGCAAUGGAUUUCAAACUACACCAGAAACCCUAGGUCAUUAUGCUUCCUAGAGUAGAAGGUGUGUGAGAUACACCAAUUUUGAGUUAGGAUUCUUGGGCCCAUGGAACCCUGGAGAUGCUCAACCUUUGCAAACUUGAUUCAAGCAUUUACUGAGAAUGUACUAGGUCCUGGGAGCGUUACUCAGCACCAGCCCCAGCCCUAAUGGAGUUUACAACCUGAUGGGGAACUGGACAUGGGGACAGAUACAUAUAGGCCCCUGUGUUCAGUGGGAGGCAGCAGGGCUGUGUGGUCAAAUUUGUGGACUUUUGAGGCAGACAGGACAACCUGUGUGAUUUUUGGCAAGUUACAUAACCUCUUGAGUUUUCAUCAACUCUGUCAGAUGUGGAUGGGAAGACUCCGUGGUUCUGGUAUAAAUUAAAUGAGUUGAUUCCCAAAAGUAUUCUGCAGAAAGAGAGUAACAUAGGAAGUACUCAAUAAGCUAUUCUAGAGGAAUGCGUUGAAUACAGAUUGGAGAGCAGUUCAUUUUCCCAGAAGAGUCAGGGCAAACUAAAGGGAUAAGGUAGCAUUGAAGGUGUGCCUUUCCUGGGAGGACUGAGCUCAGUUCCUCAAAGUGUCAAGCAGCCUUGCUAUUGGGCAGGGCAGCUUCCUCUCUGUAUUGUUAGGGGAUCUUGGAUUAAAGGGGUUUGACUCACUCUGAAUAUCUGGUCUAAAAAAUAAAUCAGUCUGAAGUUUGGGCAAGAUAAAAGUGGGCUACAUGUACAAAGGCUAUACCCAAGUGCCUGGCAAGAUUGCCUUGGUACUAAUUUCCAUGGCACCCAAACAUUCCAUUGUUCCUGUGGUGCAGUAUGGCGUCACUCAAUUAACAGAUGCUGGAAAGUGAUAUCCUCUCACUAACCAGUGAGUCCUCAUGGCUUGGACACGAGGUGACUGGAGGAGGAGAUGAAGCAUCUGAAAACCUGUCAUCAGUCAGAAGAAUCAUUUUAAAUGACCAUGUUAUUCCCCUGCCUAAUCCUCUGCAAUGCUGCCUGCCCACAUAAACCCUAACUCUGCCCCCAGCCUGCAGAGCCUGCAGAAUCAGCCACUGCCCCCUCCCCUGACUUCAUGCUUCUUCCCUCCCCUUCACUUGCCCCAGUGCCCAAUGUUGCCUUACUGGCCUUUUACAUUUUUAAACUUGUUAGUUCUUCAAAUAUUGUGGUAGCCAUCUGGAAAAAUAAAAUGUGCACAAAUAUCCUUUA